GAUGAAGAACGCAGCAAAAUGCGAUAAGUAAUGUGAAUUGCAGAAUUCAGUGAAUCAUCGAAUCUUUGAACGCACAUUGCGCCCGCCAGUAUUCUGGCGGGCAUGCCUGUUCGAGCGUCAUUUCAACCCUCAAGCACAGCUUGGUGUUGGGACUCGCGUUAAUUCGCGUUCCUCAAAUUGAUUGGCGGUCACGUCGAGCUUCCAUAGCGUAGUAGUAAAACCCUCGUUACUGGUAAUCGUCGCGGCCACGCCGUUAAACCCCAACUUCUGAAUGUUGACCUCGGAUCAGGUAGGAAUACCCGCUGAACUUAAGCAUAUCAAUAAGCGGGGA
rnacentral:misc_RNA from 1 species